rnacentral:lncRNA from 1 species
GGCGGGUGCCGGGCGCGCCUGCUGCGCGGGGCGGGACGCGGACUCCCAGGCUCUGCGGAGAGCGGCUGCCACUCGCCUCUGUUUUUUUCUUGAGACCUAGUCUGGCUCUGUGGCUCAGGCUGGAGUGCAGUGGCGUGAUCACCGCUCACUGCAGCCUCAGCCUCCUCUCGCCUCAGCCGCUCGGUAGCUGGGACCACCAGCGGGCGCCACCACUCCCGGCUACAUUUUUUUGUAUUUUUAGUAGAGACGUGGGUCUCGCCAUGUUGGCUAGGCUGCUGCCGAACUCCGGGGCUCAAGCGAUCCGCCCGCCUGGGCCUCCCAAAGUGCUGAGACUGCAGGCAUGAGCCACCGCGCCCGGCCGAGAGCCUCUUUUGGCUCCUCCUUUCGCCUUUCCGGGGCCAGGCGUGUGCAGCUCUGUGAAGGGUCCCCUCCCUCUGCGGGACGUCCUCGCUGCCGAGGUCAGAGGUGCGGAGAACAUGAGACCCGAGGUCUCAACUGCUUCUUACCAAUAUUAAUUCCAGUGACUACUAUCAGAAUAUGAUGAGCAAUCCACUCAUCAGAGAAGCUGUUUCUACACUCUCCUGAAUGACCAUUUUAUAGAUGCUGGGAAAAAAUUGUAUUAAAGACUAUGAGUUAGCUGGGCUUGGUGGCUCACGCCUGUAAUCCCAGCACUUUGUGAAGCCAAGGCGGGAGCAUCGAUUGAGCCUAGCAGUUCAAGACCAACCUUGGCGGCAUAAGCGAGACCCUGUCUCUACAAAAAUUUUAAAAUUAGCCAGGUGUGGUGGUGUGCACCUAUAAUCUUAGCUACUUGGGAAGCUGAGGUGGGAGGAUUACUCAGCCUAGGAGGUUGAGGUUACAGUGAGCUGGGAUCACACCACUGCCCUUCAGCCUGGGUGACAGAGCAGGACCCCGUCUCUUAAAAAAAAAAAAAAAAGUGGUGGACUUUGUUAUCCUUAUGCAUAUGACUCAUCAAUAUAUCUGUAUUUCCAUAUAGAAAGAACACUUAGACCGGGCACAGUGACUCACGCCUGUAAUCCCAGCACUUUGGGAGGCCAAGGCUGGCGGAUCACUUGAGGCCAGGAGUUCCAGACCAGCCUGGCUAACAUGGCAAAACCCUGUCUCUACUAAAAAAUACAAAAAUUAGCCUGGUAUGGUGGCACACGCCUGUAAUCCCUGCUACUCCGGAGGCUGAGGAAUGAGAAUAGUUUGAACCUGGGAGGUGGAGGUGGCAGUGAAUCAAGAUUGCUUCACUGCACUCCAGCCUGGGCGACAGAGUGAGACUCCAUUUCAAGAAAUAGAUAACUAAAUAAAUAAAAUAAAAGAGAACACUUAGAAAGGAACAUGCUAUAGCAAACUAAAAUUAUAGAUGUCAAAAAUUUAAUCUGGAUUACCCAGCAUCUCCUAUAAGAAACAAAGGGGCCCUCUCCCUCUCCCUCUCCCUCUCCCUCUCCCUCUCCCUCCCCCUCCCUCUCCCUCUCCCUCUCCCUCUCCCUCUGAUGCCGAGCCAAGGCUGGACGGUACUGCUGCCAUCUCGGCUCACUGCAACCUCCCUGCCUGAUUCUCCUGCCUCAGCCUGCCGAGUGCCUGCGAUUGCAGGCGCGCACCGCCACGCCUGACUGGUUUUCGUUUUUUUUUGGUGGAG